GGGUUAAUAAAGUGAACGUGAGUAUCAAUUCCUCCAGCAGUAACAAUAAAUCCUUCUCCUGCUAAAGCUUCUGUUGCAACUCCAACUAUGAAGUCAACAUCAUCCAUGAUAUCUGGAUUUCCACCUUUACCGAUAGCUAAAAUCUUACCAUCUCUAACUCCGAUAUCAGCUUUAUAAAUUCCUGUGUAAUCUAUAAUUGUUGCACCAGAAAUUAUAAGGUCAGCUACAAGUGGAUUGUUUCUAG
rnacentral:sRNA from 1 species